UGUGUUGCUACCAUGCUGUGUUGUCAUGUGUUGCUGCCUUGCUAUGUUCUCUUAGGUCUCUCUUUAUGUAGUGUCGUGUUCUCUUGUCGUGAUGUGUUUUGUCCUAUUUUUCAUUUUUUUCAAUUUAAAAUCCCAUCAGGAGGCCUUUCGGUAGGCUGUGAUUGUAUGUAAGAAUUUGUUCUUAACUGACUUGCUUAGUUAAAUAUAUGUAAAAAAAAAAAUAAUAAUAAUAAACUGACCAACAGUAUUGCUCUUUUUGUGAAAUGACCUUGUUACAUUAAAUGUAAUGGGAGACUACAGAGGACCAUAUUGUAUCCCCACAAUACAGUGAUCCUACUCAAUGCGCUCAUUGGUUCCAUGUAUUACUCAAUAGAGGCUUUCUGUCUUCAGAUGGUCUUCAGGUCCUCAUAUUUAAAACCCAAAGGGACCCUCAAGCAUCACACUCAGUCUCAUCAGAGACCAUCGGGGACCAUUGCCUUUGAAUUGGGGGCCUUUGACAUGGUACUGGGCUGGAGACUGGGGCCUUUAGAGAAUGCUUGACCUGCUUCUCAGCAUUGAUACACACAUUCUCAGGGCGAGGCAUGGGUCACCACCGAGGGUUCCACUGUGUGAGUGUGGGUGUGUUAUGAUGAUCUGCCAGCUGCUCUGUGAUGGGAGUCCUGGGCCCUGAGUCCUGGGUGGAAGAUUGGACUAGAAAACUUGGCAGAGACAAAUGUCUCCAGAGAGUAGUGCGGUCUGCCCAACGCAUCAGGGACAAACUACCUGCCCUCCAGGACACCUACAGCAUCUGAUGUCACAGGAAGGCCAAGAAGAUUAAGGACAACAACCACCCGAGCCACUGCCUGUUCACCUCUCUAUCAUCUAGAAGACAAGUGCGGAGUGUGGGCCACAUGGGAAUCCAGCCAUACCGCCGGUGCCUGGCCCCAGCACUGCCUGUCUCUCCUCUCUGUGAAUAUAAGUCAAUGGGGCUGGAGAUUGCGCAUGUUUUCAGACCAACCAUAAUAUAAAAACAUUGCCCCAUUCACUUGAUUCCUGUACGACCACAUUCCAAUGCUCAGAAUUUCUUAAUGCCCUCAUUUCAACUUCAAGAUUGGAGUUAAACCAUCUAUUAAUUCAGAUAGCAUUUCCAUACAUAUGUGGAAUGUGCUUUCAACAAAAGAGGAAGUGGCAACGUGACUUUUCGCCCAUUGACUUAAAUCCUCCAUUGUUCUCAUGGGCUUUGUCUAGAAGUAUGUGUACAGGACUGUAUGCUUCAGCAAUGCAGAAAUCAAGACCAGUUAACUUUUGAGGAUAUUGACACAGAGGUGUUAGCUGUAGCUUUUGGCCUUUUGUUAAGAAUGUACCGUGCCAGAAAAAUAUGCCUGAUGUUGAUAGCUGGAGAUUACGACAUACCUGAUCAACACAAAAGUUAUUCUAAUCUCCCUAGUGGGUGUUUAAUGAUUAACUUUAGUUCUAAAUGAAAAUAAAUUGAUGUUUUUGAGUCUUAGGAGUGAGAGUUAGAAGUAUGUGUACAGUAAUGGGGACUUGGAUGAGUUAGAAGUUAGAUAAGGUCUUGUUAAGGUGAAUUGAUGGAGAAACCAUAACAGCAUGUAGAUUUUAACCAAGGGGAAGAAUUUGACAUGACUAUCUCUGUGACACUAAAAUUCCUGGUUCAGGCCCCAUGUUAGGGCCUAAUUAGUAGACCAGGACAGAUUGUUUCCAAGCCUCAGUGCCAAUGCCUAGACAGAUGAUUAUUAACCAGGAUGACUGGUGCUGGAUACAUGACCAGAACCAGGACCCCAUCCAAAACUGCAACCUUCCUUAGAGCUGAACAGUCAUUAUCAGGACAAUAGCCAUUAACUAACAACGAUCGACUAAGACCAUAAUCUUUAACUAGAACAGACAAUGCUAUUUGGGGCUUGUCUUCCUUGCUCCUCACAUGGUACCAUUUCCAUAAUCAUGUUUUUAAUCAUUCUCUGGAAAUUCAGUCUGCAUGUGCUGAAGAAAAGAACCCCCCCAAAACACUGUUGACCUAGCUUGACUGGAUCCAGAGUUUUAUAUGAUGAUCAUUUUAACAUCAAGGCUCCUCAGAAUAGCAUUUAAAAUAUUUAGAGGAAUGGCAACACAUUGCACACAUGUAAUUACAAUUAUUAUUAAAUGGGGAUUGUGCCACGAGCACAUAGUGAU